GACGAACCGUGCGAACGUUAUUCGGAAUCACUGGGCUUAAAGCGCGUGUAGGCGGGCGGGGACGUCGGCCGCUGAAAGCCCCCGGCUCAACCGGGGAACGGGCGCCGAAACGCCUCGCCUGGAGGGACGUAGGGGGACCUGGAACUUCCGGUGGAGCGGUGAAAUGCGUUGAGAUCGGAAGGAACGCCCGUGGCGAAAGCGGGGUCCUGGACGUCUGCUGACGCUGAGACGCGAAAGCCAGGGGAGCGAACGGG
rnacentral:rRNA from 1 species